rnacentral:rRNA from 1 species
CUGGUGUUGAAGGCCCUGCAAAGCAGCAUCGCGGUGGCGGAGCGUCGUUUGCGACGCCCAACACACAAAACAAGCGGUGAGUGCUUUGGGGUGGGGUGACUGCGUACCUUUUGUAUAAUGGGUCAGCGACUUAUAUUCUGUAGCAAGGUUAACCGUAUAGGGGAGCCGUAGGGAAACCGAGUCUUAACCGGGCGUUAAGUUGCAGGGUAUAGACCCGAAACCCGGUGAUCUAGCCAUGGGCAGGUUGAAGGUUGGGUAACACUAACUGGAGGACCGAACCGACUAAUGUUGAAAAAUUAGCGGAUGACCUGUGGCUGGGGGUGAAAGGCCAAUCAAACCGGGAGAUAGCUGGUUCUCCCCGAAAGCUAUUUAGGUAGCGCCUCGUGAAUUCAUCUCCGGGGGUAGAGCACUGUUUCGGCUAGGGGGCCAUCCCGGCUUACCAACCCGAUGCAAACUGCGAAUACCGGAGAAUGUUAUCACGGGAGACACACGGCGGGUGCUAACGUCCGUCGUGAAGAGGGAAACAACCCAGACCGCCAGCUAAGGUCCCAAAGUCAUGGUUAAGUGGGAAACGAUGUGGGAAGGCCCAGACAGCCAGGAUGUUGGCUUAGAAGCAGCCAUCAUUUAAAGAAAGCGUAAUAGCUCACUGGUCGAGUCGGCCUGCGCGGAAGAUGUAACGGGGCUAAACCAUGCACCGAAGCUGCGGCAGCGAACGUAUCACUUAAAGCGAUUCAGCGGGUUACGAUUGACGGAGCGAAGCGACGUCAAAGCGUAUACAAAGUCGAGUCGGUUUAAGGAUACGUU